rnacentral:rRNA from 1 species
UACGUAGGUGGCAAGCGUUGUCCGGAUUUACUGGGCGUAAAGAGCGCGCAGGCGGUCGUUCAAGUCGCGUGUGAAAGCCCCCGGCUCAACUGGGGAGGGUCACGCGAUACUGAUCGACUCGAAGGCAGGAGAGGGUAGUGGAAUUCCCGGUGUAGUGGUGAAAUGCGUAGAUAUCGGGAGGACACCAGUGGCGAAGGCGACUACCUGGCCUGUUUCUUGACGCU